UACGAAGGGGGCAAGCGUUGUUCGGAAUCACUGGGCGUAAAGCGCACGUAGGCGGAUUGCUAAGUCAGGGGUGAAAUCCUGGAGCUCAACUCCAGAACUGCCUUUGAUACUGGCGAUCUUGAGUCCGGGAGAGGUGAGUGGAACUGCGAGUGUAGAGGUGAAAUUCGUAGAUAUUCGCAAGAACACCAGUGGCGAAGGCGGCUCACUGGCCCGGUACUGACGCUGAGGUGCGAAAGCGUGGGGAGCAAACAGG
rnacentral:rRNA from 1 species